rnacentral:rRNA from 1 species
UGUAAGCGUAUACCAAAGUUGUUGCAGUUAAAACGCUCGUAGUCGGAAUUUGGCAGUUCCGGAUGUGUGCACGUCGUGUGCGCACUUCGCGGGGAUUGCUUUUGUGGUCUUGCGUAGGAUGAGGCACUUUUAUUAGUGAACGUCCUCACGCAACCACUUUUUACUGUGAGAAAAACAGAGUGCUCAAAGCAGGCACUUGCCGUGAAUGUAUUAGCAUGGAAUAAUAGAAUAGGACUUGGUUCUAUUUUGUUGGUUUGUUGGGACUGAGUAAUGAUUAAGAGGGACAGUUGGGGGCAUUUGUAUUUCGGUGCUAGAGGUGAAAUUCUUAGAUUACCGAAAGACAAACUGCUGCGAAAGCGUCUGCCAAGGAUGUUUUCAUUGA